AAGUAGUUUACUUAUGUAGGAUUAAUUAAUAAAUGAGAUCACAUUUUUUUAAUCCCGUUCGUAGGGAAAGAAUAAAACUUGGGCUCGAGCAACCCAUUUCAGACCUAAUUUUUAGACCUAACCCAUAAUUCCCAAGCCCAUAAUUCCUAAGCCCAUACCCCUAACCUAAUUCCUACCCCUAUAUAAUAGUACUUAAUGCCUAAAUAAGGACUACGCCUAAAACACUCUGCAAAAAAAUGGAAUCCGCCGUUUUCCCAUAACAAAAAAUGACAACCUUCAUUUAAAGUCCAUGGUCUUCUUCAUUCCAGAUAGCUCUCAGCAGACUAACGCCUAAGAGCUUGAACAGUCGAAAACAUAACAACCAACAGUAGGAGCCAUUUUUGUCCUCCUGGAAUGUGAUUGGCAAAGAUCGAUCUCCACCUCCCUCCAAAUCGGAAAAACCAGCAACACCCCAAAAUCUGGGAACGAAACACAUACACAAACAAAGAACGGACGACCUCACCUCUCUCAAUUCCAAGAGAACACCCUUCAGCCGUGAUUUCGAAAUCUUGGACCCUACCAAAAUCGACCAGCAACACGCCCGAAACAGAGUAAAACGCAGAACAAAAACGGUCCAGAAAGCACCGUCCAAACAGAGCAAAUCAGAGGUGCCGACUCGAGGUCCGUUUCUGAAUUUUGCCGCGAUUCCGGCGAGUUUCGAAGUUUGGAUCGUAGUUCCGUCCAGAGGUCGUCGGAUUCAGUUCUUUUGUUUUCCAUAUCCUGGAGUUAGACCGAGCUGAGCUCUUGAAGAUUGUUCCAACUACUGUCUAGACCUGAGGUAGAGCUGCAUCCUGAUCGCAUUUCUUGGUGUCUCCUUCUAUCAUUUCAUUAUUGUAUUUCAUUCAGACAAUGUAUCGUAAUUUCAAACUUUUACUUAUAUAUUAGAGCUCAUGACUUAGUGUUGCCAGUUUUUGGGGUAUUUAUGUAUUGACUAUGUUCUUAAUUAUGGUUAUUUAGUUUUGGAUUCAAUUCUUA